GCAGAGAUUGGACACCCUGUGAUAGGAUUUUUGAUAUCCUAGGGAGGUAUUGCUCCUGACAGUAGAGUGGGCGUACACCCUGUGAUAUUAUUUGUAAUAUCCUAGAAAGAUAUUGCUCCUAAUAUCAUGGUGACUCUACACCCUGUGAUCUUAAUUGUAAUAUCCUACAGAGAUCUUACUCCUAAUAAUACAGUGGGUGUACAUCCUGUGAUAUUAUUGAUAAUACAUCACAGAGAUAGGACUCCUGAUAUCACAGUGAGUGUACACCAUGUUGGAACACGCUGUGAUCUUAUUUGUAACAACUUAGAAGAAUACUAGAGCUAAUAUCAAAGUUGGUGUACACCCUGCGAUGUUAUUUGUUAUCUACUAGGUAGAUAUUACUCCUAAUAUCAC
rnacentral:lncRNA from 10 species